GGUAGCGUGGCCGAGCGGUCCAAGGCGCUGGAAUAAGGCACCAGUCUCUUCGGGGGCAUGGGUUCGAAUCCCAUCGCUGCCA
rnacentral:tRNA from 1 species